rnacentral:rRNA from 1 species
AACGAACGCUGGCGGCAUGCCUAACACAUGCAAGUCGAACGAGACCUUCGGGUCUAGUGGCGCACGGGUGCGUAACGCGUGGGAACCUGCCUUUAGGUUCGGAAUAACUCCCCGAAAGGGGUGCUAAUACCGAAUAAUGUCUUCGGACCAAAGAUUUAUCGCCUUUAGAUGGGCCCGCGUAAGAUUAGGUAGUUGGUGGGGUAAAGGCCUACCAAGCCGACGAUCUUUAGCUGGUCUGAGAGGAUGAUCAGCCACACUGGGACUGAGACACGGCCCAGACUCCUACGGGAGGCAGCAGUGGGGAAUAUUGGACAAUGGGCGAAAGCCUGAUCCAGCAAUGCCGCGUGAGUGAUGAAGGCCUUAGGGUUGUAAAGCUCUUUUACCAGGGAUGAUAAUGACAGUACCUGGAGAAUAAGCUCCGGCUAACUCCGUGCCAGCAGCCGCGGUAAUACGGAGGGAGCUAGCGUUGUUCGGAAUUACUGGGCGUAAAGCGCACGUAGGCGGCGAUUCG